rnacentral:lncRNA from 1 species
UAGAAUGACAUUGAGAAGACACUUUUCAGAUGUUUCACAACCUAUGAUUUGAUUUUUAGCUCUAACGUAUGGAAAAACCAAAACCUAGGGCACACUAGCAACCCUUGCCAAAAAUCUCACCACCCUUCUUGCAACUUUUGCCACUCAAUUUUCCCUUGCCUUUUUAUUAGAUUUUUUCCAAAAUUUUUCCUAUAAUUUCUACAUCCUUCCUCUUU